AGAACGAACGCUGGCGGCAGGCUUAACACAUGCAAGUCGAACGCCCCGCAAGGGGAGUGGCAGACGGGUGAGUAACACGUGGGAACAUACCCUUCGGUACGGAACAACUCGGGAAACGCGAGCUAAUACCGUAUACGCCUUGGCGGGGAAAGAUUUAUCGCCGAAGGAUUGGCCCGCGUCCGAUUAGCUAGUUGGUGAGGUAAUGGCUCACCAAGGCGACGAUCGGUAGCU
rnacentral:rRNA from 1 species